AGUUGAACGACGUUAGCGAAGCGCUCGUCGCCAAAGAGUGAGCCAUUUUGUACGAGUCCAAUCAAAGGGGUCAAUCCACCAGCUCAUGCUUCAAUGUUUCAAACUUUCAAAUUGAAGUUCGAUUCCCCAUGAAAAUCGGGCGGAGCGCAAGGGGAUCUCAUUCGAUCCUUCCCUCGACGAAAACUCAACUCCGAAACUGGUGUGUGCCAAUGGUAGCCUCAGUGGACAUAGUUCACCCUAUCCUUUACAAAGAUGAACAACCUUCCGUGGCCAUGCCAACGAGAUUCGAGACCCAAGCGGUACCGUAAACGAUGACUAUUUGACGAGGGAACAAGCAUCAAUUUCGUCAAUUAAGUUUUAUCCUCUCAACGGAGUUACCUGCCUAAUAUGCCAUUUAAAGAUCGAAAGGGAGUUUUAAGUGAAUGGUUCAAUAAAAACGCCAGAUAUUUAAUAUGAAGCAGGGAAAAAAUUAAGUUGAUCUCUCUUCAGAGAAAAACUUUCAAGUCUAUCAUCGCUAUUUCUUGAAUAUAAAAUCUUAAAAGACGUCUCUUAACUAUAAAAAAAAACCUGAGGACCACAUUUCCAUGAGUAUAUUUGAUUCGUUUUAUUUAAUAAUGGAAAUUGAUAGUCUGGCUCAAAAACAAUGAAAUAUCGUAUUUAUUUCAUAUACGUAAAACAAUAGUAAUCGAUCGAAGUAAAAAAAAAAAACACGUCAUACGAUUAAUCAUUUCUUAAAAAAGAUAUUUCGAUGUAUUGAAAUGUGAAGCCUCUAUUCGUUGCCAUGGAUCGUUACCAAGCAUCAUUAUUGCUUACAUUAGUUUUUUACCUCUAAAGUUGUUACUAGUGCAAAUGAAACCAUGAACCUGUAAAUGGAGACUAAAUUCUCUGGCGACUCAAAUUUCAUCGUCCUAUCUCGCUCGACCCCGUGAAAGGCAAAAUUCAAAUGGUAACAUUAUGGAAAUCUAUCCUACGUGUUAAUCCAACGGUAGUUUACCCAUUAUCUGUUCUAUAUUGAGGAUAGUUGCUAAUAAAAAGGGUGCUCAAUUGUGUAUUAUCCACCACUCCCAUGAUUUUAAGUGGAUCAGUAGUACUGCAGGCAUAUACUUUAUGCACUACGCAUAUCAAUCAGUCCUACACAUAUGUGUAUGGCGAACUGAAAUAUUUAUUUUUGUUCGCGAUGACACAACACGUCAGAUCAGAAUUUAGACAUGAAACAAAACAUAAAAAUAAUAAAGUUAACAAAAAUUUAAUUAAAAAGUCGUAACAGAACGCACAACAAGUCAACAAUAAUGAAAUUAAAUAACUCGAACGAGCUAAUUUUUCAAUUUUUGUGCAUCCCCUACUUUUAUAGAAUUGAAAUUUUUCGUAUGUAAUUUCCCAUAAAAGCCAUAAGUUGUAGUAAACAGAAAUUUAGUAGAGAUCUUGAAGAAGAGGUAAGGUCUCACAAAAUACGGCUGCCAUCAUACUGAAAACAACAGUAGUAAAACUUAUUCGAAGAUAAAACGCGUUACACAUGCGCAACGAUGAACAGCGUUCAAGAAAAUAAAGAAAACGCUGAAUUGCAGCAUGAGCUGACCUUCAUUUUCAUCCUGGAAAACUAACUGGUUGUUCAUGUUAAGAAAUUCGUAGUAGUUUGAUCGCCAACAGCGUUGACACUUCUUCCCCUCUAUUUUUUACGAGGCUAUAUUUUUCCACGAGUAAACUUAUGUGGUGCUAUUUCUGGUGUAGUUGCACAAAGUUACGAGGAUGACCCCGAUGUUUCUUCGUUCCUAUUCGGUUACGCGGUUGAUUUUCUCAAGGAAUCCGAAGUUAAAAUGAAUGAAAAGCAUUCUUCCAAUUACAUUCAAUAAAAUCUGUGAUAUUUUUAUUUGAAAAUCUCGAAUUUGCGUGUUUUGCUGCGCUUUUAGGUCUAUUCGUUAAUAGCUUUAUUAUCCAAUUUUCCUUUGUAUUUUACGAUCGGAAAAUUACCUUACAGACGUUUACAAAUAAAACAAACAUUUAUGGGAAGCUUUGAAGGUUAAUGUUGUACCAACAUCGAUUCUACCUAAGUAAAUAUAGUGUCGUGCCGGUAGUUGCAGUGACAGUCGAGCGUGUAACAAGACAACGUAUCUCUGUAUCUAGCUUAUUCACUGGAACAGAGAACGUCACUACUGCCCGACCAACAAACCCAAAGACGAACACACAUUCGCAGUGUAGUACCAUUACCAGAACCAACCUGCUUCACGCAGUUGACAAAUGGUAAUUCUCGAAACAUCGAGAAACGAAGAGAGACAAUGCACAAAGAGGAAGGACGAGAAAGUGAGAAGGAUAGAGAGAUUUAGUCUCGGGUCCAGUAAUGCAAAGCAACCAGAUUAUCGAGUGUAUGUGAGAUUACUAUGAGCAGACUUAAUGCGACUGUCACGUACCAGUCUUCAAAAGGUAUUCGUACGUGGAGGGUUCACAUUAGAUUUUCCUACGGAACGGUCUGAUUUUAACCAAAACCGUUGACGAAUCUUCCAAAAUUUGAGAAUCAAAUAAUCAUUCGUAAAAUCUGAUUUCUUUUCAGUUUUUAAGAUUUUUUUAUUCUCGAUUUAUUGUAGAAAAAAUGAAUCUGUGAAACAAGAUGUCUUAUAUUCACCUGCAAAAAUAAUAACAUUAAAAUAAA